GUCGAUUCGUUUUUUUGAUUUAUGAAAACAACACGAUUCUCCAAAAUGUCAAAAAAUGAGAGCAGGCGCAUGUGACGGCGGCGGCUGAUUACUUAAAUCACUUUUAGGCGAGAUGAAGUCGACGUGUGUUAUUCAAUAUAUACAGGACAAAUGGGCGCGCACACGUACGAACAAGUGAUUUCGACAAAUAUAAUGGAAGAAGAGAAAAGAGAGUUGACAAUGACAGUAUGCGUAUAACACUUGUAUCUUUAUUGCUUAAAUUUGUUAGCAGUUUGCAGCUUAAUUUCUUUGCGUAAACGUUUAGAGAUCACAGCGAUAGAGUUGCAAGAGUCACCAGUGGAUAGUUUUGCGAGAGUAGAAGAGCAGUUAUACAUAUAUAUGAGUAUUUAUACGAAGCAGAGAACAUAGAGAGCGUGCAAUGUAGCGUGAAGUGCCAGGCGUGAAAGGAUAUAUUGCACAUAGUUUGAGUUUAAUGACGCGAGCUACUGCACAUACAUAUUUACAAGUGCUUUCUAAUAUGAGUUAUCAGCAGGCUUAUUAGAUGUUUGCGCGCAGAAUUUUAGGCCAAUUUUUAUACGAUUAAUAAUUUUUUUGUGUGAGUUGGCUGCCAUUACACAGAGAAUAUGCUUUAUAUACAUAAAUGUGAAACACAAUUAAUCUAUAUUAUUAAAAAAAAACAACAACAAAUAUCACCCAAAGCAAAUAUUUACAAUUUAGUGACGAAAUUAGUUUCCUUUUGUACUUUAGAACAUUAUUUGUAGUAUCGAAAUAUGAAAAAAAAUUUAAAAACUUAUUUAAAAAAAAAUAUUAAAAAAGUUCAUAUAAUAUUACAAGUGUAGACACAACUAAUUCUAUACUCAUUUACAAUAUUUUUUAUUAUUAUUACACAUACAAUUGUUGUAACCCACCCUAAAAUGCACAAAAUUGAAUAUUUAUAAAAAUAGUUUUUUUUUUUAAGAAUUAAAUGAAGUGCCAGAGCCAUUUGGUUUUU